UCGGCUUAACCUUCAAGUGCCCGACAAGACCAUCCAACGCUUUUGUCACAACUUUUUUGCUAUUGUCCCCCAAGUCAUGCCACCACAUAUGUAGCUCCAACAGGAUCUCUUCAGGGACUGAAAAAGGUUCAUUUUGAAUUGUGCUCAUCCUGCAUAUUUAUUAAGGUGAUUUUAAUUAAAAGAAAAUUAUGACUCAUUUUGACUCAGGAAAAAUGACUAUUUUUUCAAACUUUUUCAUAAAAUAUCCAGCUUUGCCAAUACGGCUUUCCAGCACUCCAAAAAUGAAGAUUUUAAGGCUGUGUUCGCUAAACGGCAAAAACCUUGAAAAAUGAACAAAGGUGGCUAUUCUUGCAAAAAUGGCCUUCCGACGCCCUUUUGGGGACAUUCGGCUAUCUUAGACAAGAAUGACAUCACCUUACUUAUUUGCAAUAAAAUUAAAAUUUUUGUUCUUUUUGGACUAUUUUUGCAAAAAGGAAGUUGGACCCGAUGGGGGUUGCCUACGUAUCUCACACCCUAUGAGAAUCAAACUGGCGUAGUUCGGGAAAAUAAAAUAAAACCAACUAUUUUUCAAAACAAAACCGUUUCUUUUUCAUUUCAUUUUCUCAAAAUAUUUGGUAGAGUUUCAGUACCAUUUGGACAUUGAUUUUUCCAAAACAGGUGAUUUAACUCACUUAACCCUCACAUUGCCAUUCUCUCUUUUCCAACUUUCUCCCAUUAUUCAAAAGCCGAUCAGCAUGCAAAUCCAAAUCAAAUAAAUGCACAAGUAGUAAGUAAGAUGCAUCAGGAUGGUCUUUUUAUUUUGGUACACCUGUCCUAGACAGACCCAACCCCUAUGUUGAGUCUCCAAAGUCAAAUACACGUGAUGCAAGAAAACGUUCCUACUAGGGAUCCAACAUGAGGCUGAGUUAUUCUAGGUUUAAGAACCUGGGUUUAUUUGUUCUAGACCUGGCUUACCCAAGCGGACAGCUCGAGCCGAGGGAUGGCAGCGUACCGGGAGUACAGAAGCUUCACCAGCUUUGCAACUUGUCCGAACCUCGUUCUAAAAUUUGGGAUAUGACUCUAACAAAAGAGAAGUCACACAAAGUGCACACUUCUCCAUGAUUUAGAAGACUCGGAGAGAGGAAGGAUUUCGUAGCAGUUUAUAUACAGUUCACAGAAUAUCAAAGCGGUAAAAGCAACAAUUAGCCCAUUAGGCCCAAACAUGUAACAAAAUCAGAUAAUGGAUAAAGCCAACUAUAACAAUUCAUCUAAGCUCGAAUUCUUGGACCCUGAACCAGAGAUUCUGGGUUCGAUCCCCAGCAGAGUCGCCAGAGCUGUCACACCUCCUUUUUACCUACCCCCGGAAGGGAGUAUAUAAGGGGAGUUUUUCCAACUUAAAGUGACAAUCGAAACAGGAUUAUUUAUUCAUUAAAAAUUCAGAGUCGCCAUUUGGGAUAAUUUAUGGUGUCCCAAGUCACCGGUUCAAAUCCCCAAUCGAGGAAAAGAUUGACUCUAUAUUACAGUCCGCGAACCAGAAAUCUGGGUAAGGAAUUCUGUUAACCCAGGAGAAGGUGUUAGGCAUUCCCGGAUUCUGUGGUUUUAGCACGGUCGCUCAGCUGUUAUUAUUGGCCUAUUAUUUGAUUUUAAUACACUUUUAAACCUAUGUGCAUUUUACUUCAAACCGCUUUUAAUUAUUUUAAGGUAGAUGUCAGCGUCAUCUAAAACACAUCUUUAGACCAUGCCACAUGAAAUGCACCCGCAGUCCGAGAUACAUUUUAUUUAACAUUGUUAAGAUUUGGAUUUGGGUCACAUGAAAUGCACACCCGAAUUUAGGAAGGUAUAUUACGCGCCUAAAGCAACUACGCAUUUGCGAGGGCCAUGGAAGUUCAACUAAAUGGCGCGCCACAAUUUCUAAGGAUUUAAGUACUAAUUAAAUGAGGGCCGUGCAUUUUGAGAUUUUGUUUGGCAUGGCACACGUCAAAUUUUCUACAAAAGCUAACCGGCUUUGUGAGGGCCAUGGCUUGAUCAAUAUUAAAAAUAAUCAGGGAAGAGGUCAACAACACUAGAUUGAACAAAGAAAACUCGAAAUGCUUAGAUCAAUUAACAUCCGAGCUCUUAAAGCCGAAUUCAAUUUUUUUUUAAAAAGGAAGACAUUAAAUUUUUUGUGCAUCUCCACCUUUGCCAACAAAUAAAACCAAUAUAAAAAUUGCUAACGAAACAGCACACAACAAUAAUGAAGACCACCACCUUACAAUCAUGAAUGGUCAAAUCCUCCUAAAGAUAGAAAUGAACACAUGUGAGGUCAAAUGUUGUAAAGAAUCCAUAUCUUGUCAUUUGUCUAUCCAAAAAAAAAAUUCGCUACUCUUACUGUUACCUCCAAAGCACAAAAGCACAUCCAUCAAAAUCGUUUGAGAUUGUGAAUUUAAAACCGCAACAAAGAGAGCAGAAACGGUACAUGGUGAACAUAUUUAGAAUGGAGUUCGUACUUGAUAAAAUCAAAUGGCAGAAAAUCAGCGACACAACAACAACAAUAACAACAACGACCCAGUAUUAUCCCACAAGUGGGGUCUGGGGAGGGUAAUAUGUACGCAGACCUUACCCCUACCCCGAAGGGUAGAGAGGCUGUUUCCAGGAGACCCUCAGCUCAAAAAGCAAUAGGAGAUGAUAUAUUAGUACCAUAAAAAUGCGUAUUAAAAAUAACAACAAUAUAUAAAAGACACAAAUUAUCAAAAAUGAAUACAUGAUUUCACAAUCCACUUCAGUCCAUUGUUGGAAUAAUAAACUACAUAACAGAAGCAAAUUCAUUCAAUUUUUCUCCAUUAGCAUGAGAGUUGAACAAAACUAUACCGAAUUUCAUAAAGAAUAAGGGAUUUCAUUCUGCAACUAAGCAAACUAAGAUACAGAUUCAAACUAACAGAAAUUUGGAUUUAAGUUUUCAUUCCAUUUACCCAAAUACUACAAGCUUAGGAAUAUAUGUGUACCAGUUUUGAAGCAAGAACAAGAAAGCAAACUGGACUGAAAACCAAAUAAAUGUGAAAUGCUUCAAAUUGGAGCCUAGCAUAGCAAGAAAAUGACUCCUUUAGCAGCAGUAAUAGUACAACGAUUCCACGGCUUAAAAUGAUCUUCUGGAACCUCAGGGAGAAAGGGAUCGAACUCCAUUUUAAGAAUAAAAAUCAAGGAGGAGGAAGCUGGAAUUUUGCAUUCCUUUUUUUAGAACGUGAGUGAGCCUCUUUGAAGGCAAGCGAUGCCACCGCUGAAUUUUGCUUAAAAUGCUUCAACCCAGAAGAAAAAUUUGUUCCAUUAUGCUUGUCAUUUCUCAUUCAAAUUCCCAUAAGAGCUGUUGUUCUUCAACUUCUAGGGAGGAUGUCUCAUUAGAUCUUAACAACUGAUGUCUAUCCCUUGUUUUUUGGUUCUUUUCUUUUAGAUCUGUAUAUUUUUUUUUCUUUGUUCCACCCGUGUGUGUGUUUAUUUGAGAGAUGAUAGUGUGGAGGUGAGUUUGUGAUCAGAGAGUGAGGGGGUCAUGGCUAAUUGGUGUUCCCUUUUUUUAGAAAUGAAGCUGAAGAAGAUAGCCUAGGGUGCGCCGUUUCGUCAGGGGUGUCCUCUUCUGAUUUUCUAUGAUUCUUAGGGUGUAGGUCUAUAUAGGUCUAGGGUCUAGGUUUAUAUUUG
rnacentral:lncRNA from 1 species